rnacentral:sRNA from 1 species
UUCCAGACAACUCUACUACUUGAUUUUUCUAUCACUCAAAUUUUUUUGUUACAUCAAAACAGUCUACAUUUCGUGUCGCAUAUAAUAGAAACUUCUUCCGACAGUUAACCACAUCGGAGCUAAAGUGAACUGGUCAUAUCGGGAAACACUGUGCAAAACUUACAUUCGACGGACGGAACGGACUGACUCUGGAAAUCACAUCACAAUAAGUCAUGCCACGGGGAAAACGCCGAGCUGCAGAUACUAUUAGCGACAACAUGGAUCAUGGUCAACCGAAGAGGGCCCGAACCAGCUACACCAGCAUACCCACACAACAGAGCAGCAGGUGAGUGGAGGAAAAUAGG